GGCGGCGUGCUAAUACAUGCAAGUCGAACGAGUUCUCGUUGAUGAUCGGUGCUUGCACCGAGAUUCAACAUGGAACGAGUGGCGGACGGGUGAGUAACACGUGGGUAACCUGCCCUUAAGUGGGGGAUAACAUUUGGAAACAGAUGCUAAUACCGCAUAGAUCCAAGAACCGCAUGGUUCUUGGCUGAAAGAUGGCGUAAGCUAUCGCUUUUGGAUGGACCCGCGGCGUAUUAGCUAGUUGGUGAGGUAAUGGCUCACCAAGGCGAUGAUACGUAGCCGAACUGAGAGGUUGAUCGGCCACAUUGGGACUGAGACACGGCCCAAACUCCUACGGGAGGCAGCAGUAGGGAAUCUUCCACAAUGGACGCAAGUCUGAUGGAGCAACGCCGCGUGAGUGAAGAAGGCUUUCGGGUCGUAAAACUCUGUUGUUGGAGAAGAAUGGUCGGCAGAGUAACUGUUGUCGGCGUGACGGUAUCCAACCAGAAAGCCACGGCUAACUACGUGCCAGCAGCCGCGGUAAUACGUAGGUGGCAAGCGUUAUCCGGAUUUAUUGGGCGUAAAGCGAGCGCAGGCGGUUUUUUAAGUCUGAUGUGAAAGCCCUCGGCUUAACCGAGGAAGCGCAUCGGAAACUGGGAAACUUGAGUGCAGAAGAGGACAGUGGAACUCCAUGUGUAGCGGUGAAAUGCGUAGAUAUAUGGAAGAACACCAGUGGCGAAGGCGGCUGUCUGGUCUGUAACUGACGCUGAGGCUCGAAAGCAUGGGUAGCGAACAGGAUUAGAUACCCUGGUAGUCCAUGCCGUAAACGAUGAAUGCUAGGUGUUGGAGGGUUUCCGCCCUUCAGUGCCGCAGCUAACGCAUUAAGCAUUCCGCCUGGGGAGUACGACCGCAAGGUUGAAACUCAAAGGAAUUGACGGGGGCCCGCACAAGCGGUGGAGCAUGUGGUUUAAUUCGAAGCAACGCGAAGAACCUUACCAGGUCUUGACAUCUUUUGAUCACCUGAGAGAUCAGGUUUCCCCUUCGGGGGCAAAAUGACAGGUGGUGCAUGGUUGUCGUCAGCUCGUGUCGUGAGAUGUUGGGUUAAGUCCCGCAACGAGCGCAACCCUUAUGACUAGUUGCCAGCAUUUAGUUGGGCACUCUAGUAAGACUGCCGGUGACAAACCGGAGGAAGGUGGGGAUGACGUCAAAUCAUCAUGCCCCUUAUGACCUGGGCUACACACGUGCUACAAUGGAUGGUACAACGAGUUGCGAGACCGCGAGGUCAAGCUAAUCUCUUAAAGCCAUUCUCAGUUCGGACUGUAGGCUGCAACUCGCCUACACGAAGUCGGAAUCGCUAGUAAUCGCGGAUCAGCACGCCGCGGUGAAUACGUUCCCGGGCCUUGUACACACCGCCCGUCACACCAUGAGAGUUUGUAACACCCGAAGCCGGUGGCGUAACCCUUUUAGGGAGCGAGCCGUCUAAGGUG
rnacentral:rRNA from 1 species